rnacentral:rRNA from 1 species
GAGGUUAAGCGACUAAGCGUACACGGUGGAUGCCCUGGCAGUCAGAGGCGAUGAAGGGCGUGCUAAUCUGCGAUAAGCGCCGGUAAGGUGAUAUGAACCGUUAUAACCGGCGAUACCCGAAUGGGGAAACCCAGUGUGAUUCGUCACACUAUCAUUAACUGAAUCCAUAGGUUAAUGAGGCGAACCGGGGGAACUGAAACAUCUAAGUACCCCGAGGAAAAGAAAUCAACCGAGAUUCCCCCAGUAGCGGCGAGCGAACGGGGAGGAGCCCAGAGCCUGAAUCAGCAUGUGUGUUAGUGGAAGCGUCUGGAAAGGCGCGCGAUACAGGGUGACAGCCCCGUACACAAAAGCGCAUGUGCUGUGAGCUCGAUGAGUAGGGCGGGACACGUGGUAUCCUGUCUGAAUAUGGGGGGACCAUCCUCCAAGGCUAAAUACUCCUGACUGACCGAUAGUGAACCAGUACCGUGAGGGAAAGGCGAAAAGAACCCCGGCGAGGGGAGUGAAAAAGAACCUGAAACCGUGUACGUACAAGCAGUGGGAGCACCCUUUGGGUGUGACUGCGUACCUUUUGUAUAAUGGGUCAGCGACUUAUAUUCUG